AGUUAUCACUAGUUCUGUAGUUCACUACGCAGCCGGCCCUAAAUCUUUCUUCCCCUUUUCAGCUUUUCUUCUCCUCCAAACGCAGCCGGCCCUAAACGCAGCUUUUCUCCUCAACAAAUCUAAACGCAAAACCAAAUUUAGAUCUAGAUCUGGCUGAUGAUGAUACUGAUGCACACAGGACUGAUUUGAUGACCUUUACCAAGUUUAUAUUGAACGAGCAGUCCAACUGUCCAACAGUCCAAGUACGCAAAAUCUCGCGGGAUCUUGCUCAAUCACAUUGUUUUGGGUUGCAAGUUCAUUUGUUCUACUGUCAACAAGAUGGAUAUAAGUAUGACAUAUCCAAAUUCAGUCACUAUUGAAGAAGAUAGUGAUACCGGGAGCAGUAGUGAUAGCAUCAAGGAAACAGGCCAUACCAACUAGCAAAUUAUGAAUGUUGUUGUUGCUGAUGAUGAGGGCAGACCGGCAGAACAUUGGUUGGCCUUGGAGCAUCACUUUUGUUGUGAUUUAAUAUCAUGUGAAUUGUAAUAUAUUGACUCUAAACUUGUAACUUUGGUUGGUAGACUUUUGUUUAGAUUGUUCUAGUUGAAUUUGUUUGACUUGUGUGAAAUUAGAGUUGUUAAAUUUGGAUAGAUGAUGUAUUAUAUUAUUUUUACUCUUAUGAUGUCUUAAUUUAGUUUGGAGUUGAUUCUAUUAAAAA